CGUGUCGUGAGAUGCGGGUUAAGUCCGCAACGAGCGCAACCCUCGACCUUAGUUGCCAGCAUUCAGUUGGGCACUCUAAGGUGACUGCCGGCUAAAAGUCGGAGGAAGGUGGGGAUGACGUCAAAUCAUCAUGCCCCUUAUGACCUGGGCUACACACGUGCUACAAUGGGCGGUACAAAGGGUCGCGAACCCGCGAGGGGGAGCCAAUCCCAAAAAGCCGCUCUCAGUUCGGAUUGCAGGCUGCAACUCGCCUGCAUGAAGCCGGAAUUGCUAGUAAUCGCGGAUCAGCAUGCCGCGGUGAAUACGUUCCCGGGCCUU
rnacentral:rRNA from 1 species